GUUCACUUAGCUCAAUGGUUAGAGCACUUGGGGUUUGUGGGCAUAUCUCAGAGGUUGUACUCAAGCGAUGCGGGUUCGAAUCCCACAGUGGACC